rnacentral:rRNA from 1 species
CCUACGGGUGGCUGCAGUAGGGAAUAUUGCGCAAUGGGGGAAACCCUGACGCAGCAACGCCGCGUGAGUGAGGAAGGUCUUCGGAUUGUAAAACUCUGUUCUUAGGGAAAAAUGUCCUUAUGGCUAAUAUCCAUGAGGAGUGAUGGUACCUAAGUAGAAAGCACCGGCUAACUUCGUGCCAGCAGCCGCGGUAAUACGAAGGGUGCAAGCGUUGUUCGGAAUCAUUGGGCGUAAAGCGCGCGCAGGCGGAUCAGCAAGUCAGAUGUGAAAUCUCG